rnacentral:rRNA from 1 species
UACAGAGGAUGCAAGCGUUAUCCGGAAUGAUUGGGCGUAAAGCGUCUGUAGGUGGCUUUUUAAGUCCGCCGUCAAAUCCCAGGGCUCAACUCUGGACAGGCGGUGGAAACUACCAAGCUGGAGUACGGUAGGGGCAGAGGGAAUUUCCGGUGGAGCGGUGAAAUGCGCAGAUAUCGGGAGGAACACCGGUGGCGAAAGCGGUUCUCUGGGCCUGUACUGACGCUGAGGAGCGAAAGCGUGGGGAGCGAACAGG